CCUACGGGAGGCAGCAGUGAGGAAUAUUGGUCAAUGGACGAGAGUCUGAACCAGCCAAGUAGCGUGAAGGAUUACUGCCCUAUGGGUUGUAAACUUCUUUUAUAUGGGAAUAAAAUGUUCCACGUGUGGGAUUUUGUAUGUACCAUAUGAAUAAGGAUCGGCUAACUCCGUGCCAGCAGCCGCGGUAAUACGGAGGAUCCGAGCGUUAUCCGGAUUUAUUGGGGUUAAAGGGAGCGUAGGUGGAUUGUUAAGUCAGUUGUGAAAGUUUGCGGCUCAACCGUAAAAUUGCAGUUGAAACUGGCAGUCUUGAGUACAGUAGAGGUGGGCGGAAUUCGUGGUGUAGCGGUGAAAUGCUUAGAUAUCACGAAGAACUCCGAUUGCGAAGGCAGUUCACUGGACUGCAACUGACACUGAGGCUCGAAAGUGUGGGUAUCAAACAGGAUUAGAUACCCUAGUAGUC
rnacentral:rRNA from 1 species